CUCACCCGGAUCCUGGGAGAUGCCGCAGGGCAAGAGGAAACGAUCUGGAGAGGGGCUGUGUACGCUUUUUCCUGAUGAGCAACAGCAUGGUGGAAGAAAAUCCAUGGCAGGAGCACCACCAGAGCCAUCCUCUCUCCACAAAGCCUGGGAGAGAUGUGGAGAAGGAUUUGAUGGCUUCAAAGCAGAGAAGGGAGCAAGAAAGACAUUGGCUACACGUCACUUGGCACAAUCCUUUGUCUCCAAUGACGUGUUAGAGAGUUUGAAGGAGCCAGCUGACAUAGUGUGGAGUGACAGUGACUUAUCAAAUGAUGGCAGUAAAGAAUUCCAUUCACAAAAUGAUGGCUUGGGAAAGUUCAUCCGAAGAGUAGGAAAAAAUGGCUGUGAUGCACUGUCUGUACCUGUUGAGGGUUACAGUGGAGAAGAUUCCCCCCAGAUUAUUGACGACCACGAUGCCUCUGAUCAUGAGGGCGAUUUGUUUGCAGCAGAUGAAAGUGCGGUUGAAAUCUCCGACUCAGAGUCUGUUUCAAGUGAUGUCUCCAAAACCCUGCUGCAAAGUGACAGUGAAGCUGCACUCGCUAUAGAUAUUGCAGAGUAUUCUUCAGAUGACUUGGAUGAGAGUGUAUCGUUGGUUGAGAGAUCACCCUGUCUAGUAGGUGAUGGAGACGCUGCUACUUUUAUUGGAAAGUCUGCAAGUGACUGGGCCAGAACUGCACAGGUUUUAUUGCAGACCCCAGAGAAGACUAUGACAAAAAUUUGUAAGACCCCCGAUGAUUCUGCCAAGAAAAGGAGAAGAUUUCUUGGGGGAGGACUUGCAGAGAGACUCAUUCGACUGCAGAACAGAGAAAGAUCUGCCAUUAGUUUUUGGAGGCAUCAGCGUGACUCUGAUUGCAAAAUGCCUUUGGGAGAUAAAUCUGGGAUCCUUAUGUUAAGGAUAAUUGAGAUCCAUGAGGAAUGUUCAAUGCAGGUUGCAUUGUGUGAGAAGCUGGUGGACCCUCCAAAUGUUGUGACCUCUUCCACCACUGGUUCUAGUUCUGCAACAAUACUGAAGGUUCUUUUCACGCAUCAAACAGCAUCCCAGCUUCAAGGACAGCCAUGUGAUAUUAUUCAUAUACAUCCACCAUGGCUAAAUCUAACCCUCAGAGAUGAAAAUACACCUGUCCUCUUGAAUACACAUUUUACUCAAAAAAUAAUCAGACACCUGAACCAGGAUGACGAUAAGACGGUGUCCAGUUUGUUGCCUGAAAGAAGGAAACCAGUACCAUUGUCAGUGGUAUUUAACAUUAAUAAUGAUGCUGAAAUUGGUGGGAAAAGAAAGUGUGAAGAUCAUCCGAAAAUGUACAGCAGCCAGGAACAGGCACGGGCAUCAAGCUUUUCUGUGAAUGACUCCUUGCUGGAUGUGGUAGAAACACAAGGUGCUGCAGGUUGGAAAGAAAUGUGUAUACGAGUAGUUAUCCAACGUGUGUAUGGUCUUCCUUCAAGAGCCAGUCCUAGAUCCUGUCUUCAAGGAAGCAGUAAAGCCAGUCUUGUAGUUCCUGUCAAUCCAAGCAGAUUAGAUAUCAGGUUAUGUCUUCUCAUUCAGGAUGCCUAUGGGAUAUUCAGCGAACUUCAAUUGCAAUGUAAUAAUCCUUCCCCAGCAGACAUAGAGUGCUACAGCAAGAGAUGGGAAGGAAAAGCAUGUUGCCUUUCUGGUAUGAAGAUCCUACAGAGGACUACUAGAGGAAGGUCCCCAGGACUUUUCAGUCUUAUUGACAGCUUGUGGCCUCCAUUAUUGCCCAUAAAAAUUCAUGGUCAAAGUCAAGACCAAGGACAGGUUCAAACCAACCUCCCUGCUCCCAGUUUUUGUUACAUUCUUGCUGUGCAUCACCAUGAGAGAGGUGACAAUAUCAGGGAAGAAGACAAGAUGUCAGAUUUCUAUCUCCCACCUGUGGUUCACAGUCUAGAAGAAAUCUUGCAGGUGGUUGGUCUCAAUCAACGCUGUAGCUUUUGGGCGACCGUGAUCUAUAUGAAGCCUGAGCAAAUACAUGGUGACUUUCCCUUCCAAAAAGACAUUUGGAUGUUUGUAACAGACGUCACUCUGCAGGGGACAAUAGGGAAUGCCGUGAUGCCAAGAGUCCUGGCUGUCUGUGUCUCACCUUCUUGUGUCGUGGAACGCAGCAUCAUGCACACCCUGUGUGACCAGCUACCCUGUGCCAUCUGGUUUAAAGAUGCAGUAAAAGAAAAUGGCAGGAUAAUAUGCGUUGAAAGAACUGUUCUCUCAUUACUAAAGCCCCUUUUAUCCUGUGCUGCUGGCGCUAAUGAGCUGACCGGCCCUGUCAUACUAGAUGAACUGGAUUCCAGGAUGGAGGCUAACUCACUGUGCUUUGUGAAAGGUGUCAUUGUUGGAGUUAAUGAAAGAGCAUCUUUUUCAUGGCCAGUUUGUAACAAGUGUGGGAGCAACAGAUUGCAGCGUUCUGCGGAGAGUUGUUUUGUCCCCUCAGGAUUAUUUUUCUGUAACCAGUGUUCACAAGUUAUAUCCUGUCCCAUCGUCAAGAUACAGCUAGAAAUAUUUCUACACUCAGAACGAAUACCGGAUUGUAAAGUUAAAUUAAAGAAAUGGUUUUCCUUAUAAACACAGAAGAAAAAAGGUUUGGCCAUGAAGCCUUUCUCGCCCUGUCAAUAGCCGAAAUACAAAGAUAAAGUGUAGCUGAGCCUUCUAGAAAGGAUGGGCAUUGAGAAAUGGGUUGGAAAGGGUGAGGUUAUUUUUGCUGGUUAUAGAGAGGGAUUAUGAAAGUAUUUAAUACACUACUUGUUUAAAGGUCUCAAGGUAAGAAAAAGGUGUGUGCAGCCCUACAAAAGUCUUGAAAGCAGUUCUGAAUGGUGGUAUUAACUGAGAACUAGAGGCAGGCUUUCGUAGCCUUAUCACUAUUUAAGAGGUUAAAAACAGUGUUAUAAAAGAUUUGUUUGUGACUGGUGUCAGUAUGCUACUUUUUCUGAAUUUUGUACAGAACAACCAGCAAGCAGCAGCAUUUAGCAUAGAAUGUUUUGGAAUCAGACAGCAUACUUGAAGACCACUUCAGCAGCCGAGACAUACAGCAUGAUGAUAAAAAGAUGUGCAAACAAACGUUAUUCUGUCUGCCAUGCUCCCUGCAGAGUCCCUGAGUCUGGUGGGAACUACACUACUGACCAGGAUGUACUCAGUGAAGAUAAAACGGCUUGUCUCCUACUGCAAGGAGUCAAUAGAGAAACAUGUUCUCAAACAAACUCAUCUGAUUUGAAAAAGAAAAUCAGAUCAUCAUAGGAGAGUAAAACAAUAUUGCACAGAGCUGUGUGUAUUCUAAAAAAUAUAUUUUAAGGGUCUUUCACUAAUUUCCAUAUUUUUUGUGAUUUAAAUCCAAAUGGCAAAAUUGAUUCUAAAGUAGCUAAGCUGUGACUAUAACACGGAUGGAGGAUUGUUUCAGAUCAGAUAUUUCAUCCUCAGUUUUGCUAUUCAGAUUUAUUUUGCUAAAAUUCUGUUUAGUGCUUAGCCCUGUCAGUCUGUGUUUUGUGAAACAUGUACAAAAUGUGUCAUUCAAGUGUAUCAUUAUUGGCAGGUACAGCAUUUUGAUAGGAUUUUCUGCACACCUGAUACCUUAAUGACAUAAUCACCUUAAUUUUAUAACUGGAGAAUCGAAAAUAUAUAACAACAAAAUGUUGUGUGUUUUUUUAUUUUUUUUCUGUCCCUCUAGUACAUAUAUAAAUAUAAUUUCACAAAUGAUCAUUUGCUAAGAGGACAUAGUGACAUAACGCAUGUAAAUAGAAAAAUGAUCAGGCCGCAUUCCCACCCCAAUCCCUCUUGUUUUAUUUAUUCAUCUCAUAUAAUUACAUUUUUCCAAUGUAUGUCCACUUCAGGGCCCCAUAUCACAUCGGUACUCUGGACCAUCACUACCACUUCUUAAAAUCUCACAGCAUUGCAAAUUACCACUAUCCAGUUAUUUCUCUUUGACACUCCAUCCUUAGACCGUGGCCACUGUCAUGUAAGGGAAUUUUUGCUAGCUUCAUAUAAAAUAAAAUUAGGGAACUGAAAGUCUAUUGAAACAUCAAAAAGUAGGUGAACUGUCAAUGUUUUGCUUUUCAAAGAAAAUAUAAAGAAACUGACCAUGUAUUCUUGUCUCUCUGUAGAGAAAACUAUUGACCGAAAAACAUAUUUUUUUUCCAUUUCACAAUGGCUUGGUUGAUUGUAUACCCCGUGCCAACAGCAUACAGAUAAAUAUACAAGUAUACCUACCCCCAGACAUUGUUGAUUGUUUACUGUUUGGAUUAAGUAAGGAUUGUAUCUGCCCUUGUAGGGGCUUUGCAUGCUGUGCUCUGGCACACUGCCCUUGCAUGUAGACUAUUAUAUCACUGAAUGCGUGUGAAUACUUUUUCCUUUUGUGCCACCCCAGGUUAACAUUGUACCCUUCUUUCCUUUAUACCUUCACAGCUGCUGCAAGAUACAAUUUCUGUUCUUCUGAAUUUGUGUUCCAGUAAAGAUGGGCGUUAUGAGGUGAGUGGCAUGAUUGGGAAGGAGGUUGGACCCUUGG